rnacentral:sRNA from 1 species
UAGAGAAUUCAUUGCAAACUGAUCAAGGU